CCUACGAGUGGCAGUAGUAGGGAAUAUUGCUCAAUGGGGGAAACCCUGAAGCAGCAACGCCGCGUGGAGGAUGAAGGUUUUAGGAUUGUAAACUCCUUUUGUGAGGGAAGAUAAUGCCGGUAUCCCACGAAUUAUGACCGGCUAAUCCCGUGCCAGCAGCCGUGGUAAUACGGCGGGAGCAAGCGUUACCCGGAAUCACUGGGCGUAAAGAGUGCGCAGGCGGGCUUGUAAGGCAGAGGUGAAAUCCCGUAGCUUAACUACAGAAUUGCCUUUGAAACUUUGAGGCUAGAGUGUAGGAGAGGUAGGUGGAAUUUAUGGUGUAGCGGUAAAAUGCGUAGAUAUCAAAAAGAACACCCAUUGCGAAGGCAGCCUAC
rnacentral:rRNA from 1 species